rnacentral:lncRNA from 1 species
AUGUUCACGAAGUUUCUGGUGGCUAUAUGUAAUCAUAAAGGCCACCUUUGUGAUCCAUGUGCACAAAUCAUCUGCCUCUGGCUGAUACCAGUGAAAAGAGCAGCUGACAGAAAAAAAGGAAAGCAGAGUCAUCAGAGAGGCAAACAGAAGCCAUAUCUUUUGGGUUGUGGUUCUACAGGUGAAAGACAGGGGCUUGCCUUUCCUGCAGUGAGGCUGCAGACUGGCUGGCAGAAGUGGACAGGAGAAGAGAAGAUCUCUCAAAAGAUCCUACACCCUUUCUCUUCAGCUGGCAGUGCCUUCAAGUCCCACUGUUCCAUUUCUAAUGUCACAUAUCUGCGCUAUCUCUACAGUGUCAUGCAUGAGGUCAUGAAUGUUAGCUGCAGCAAGUUCCACUUUGAAUUCACAUUUUGUACAUGUUAAGAAUUUCAUUAAUAAAAACUAAAAAUACUAUUUAUGCAGAAAAUCAAGCAAUGUUGUUAAAAUAUAAUUACAUAUUUCAGGAUCCAAAUUCAAAUGGAGUAAUUCUCCUCUUUUGCAAAAAUGAAAAUGAAAACAAAAAAAAGUGGAAUUACAGGGAUCCCUCACUAAACUGGGGACUUCUGAUAGCCAGGAUUUCUGAUAGCCAGGAUCUUUCAAUAGCUGGGGACUAUUGUUGAGACUCAGGGAGAAAAAGAGAGUCUAUGUCCUCUGGAAGAAGGGGCAGGCUAGUUGGGGGAAUUACAAGGAAGUAGCUAAGGUAUUCAGGGAGGAAUUUAGGAAGGCAAAAGCCCAACUUGAACUCAGAUUGGCCAUGGCCAGUAAAAAAUUCUUUUAUAAAUAUACCAAUGGCAAAAGAAGAACUAAGGAUAUUUCUCAUCCUAUACUUGAUGCAGCAGGAAAUGUGGCCACUGAGGAUAAGGAGAAGACUGAGGUCCUCAAUGCUUUCUUUACAACUGCCUUUAAUAGCCAGACCAGUUUUCUGCUGGGCGUUCACCUAGACUUCAGCAAAGCCUUUGACACAGUCUGUCACAGGCUUUUGCUGGGGAAACUGGCUGCCCAUGGCCUGGAC